rnacentral:rRNA from 1 species
AGUGAACGCUGGCGGUAUGCCUAACACAUGCAAGUCGAACGGCAGCACAGUAAGAGCUUGCUCCUACGGGUGGCGAGGGGCGGACGGGUGAGGAAUACAUCGGAAUCUACUUUUUCGUGGGGGAUAACGGAGGGAAACUUACGCUAAUACCGCAUACGACCUACGGGUUAAAGCAGGGGUUCUUCGGACUUUUCGCGAUUGAAAGAGCCGAUGUCGGAUUAGCUAGUUGGCGGGGUAAAGGCACACCAAGGCGAGGAUCCGUAGCUGGCCUGAGAGGAUGAUCAGCACCACUGAACCUGAGACACGGUCCAGACUCCUACGGGAGGCAGCAGUGGGGAAUAUUGGACAAGGGGCGAAAGCCUGCGCCAGCCAUACGGCGUGGGUGAAGACGGCCUUCGGGUUGUAAAGCCCGUUUGUUGGGAAAGAAAAGCGGCAGGUUAACACCGCGCUGUUUUGCCGGAACCAAAAAAAUAAGCACGGGUAACUUUCGU